CCUACGGGAGGCAGCAGUGGGGAAUAUUGGGCAAUGGUCGCAAGCCUGACCCAGCAACGCCGCGUGAAGGAAGAAGGCUUUCGGGUUGUAAACUUCUUUUCUGAGGGACGAAGAAAGUGACGGUACCUCAGGAAUAAGCCACGGCUAACUACGUGCCAGCAGCCGCGGUAAUACGUAGGUGGCAAGCGUUAUCCGGAUUUAUUGGGAGUAAAGGGCUUGUAGGCGGGAAAGCAAGUCAGAAGUGAAAACCCAGGGCUCAACCCUGAGCCUGCAUUGGAAACUGUUUUACUUGAGUGCUGGAGAGGCAAUCGGAAUUCCGGGUGUAGCGGUGAAAUGCGUAGAUAUACGGAGGAACACCAGUGGCGAAGGCGGAUUGCUGGACAGUAACUGACGCUGAGGCGCGAAAGCGUGGGGAGCAAACAGGAUUAGAUACCCGAGUAGUC
rnacentral:rRNA from 1 species